rfam:Parvimonas micra strain KCOM 1535, complete genome.
UAAGUAAAACAGACAAUCGCGUGAGAUAAUCACGAGGAAAGUCCGUGCACCAUAGAGUAGAAUGCUGGAUAACGUCCAGUGGGGGCGACCCUAAGGCUAGUGCAACAGAGAUAUACCGCCAUUUAUAAUGGUAAGGGUGGAAAGGUGAGGUAAGAGCUUACCAGCAUAUAGGAGACUAUAUGGCUAUGUAAACCCCAUUCGGUGCAAGAUCAAGAUUGAACUUUUGUAGUUGCUCGCUACGUUCAUAGGUAGAUUGCUUGAACAAAUUGGCAACAAUUUGUCUAGAUAGAUGAUUGUCUAAUACAGAACACGGCUUAUAGUUUUGCUUAAUAU